UACGUAGGUGGCAAGCGUUAUCCGGGAUUAUUGGGCGUAAAGCGCGCGUUGGCGGUUUCUUAAGUCUGAUGUGAAAGCCCACGGCUCAACCGUGGAGGGUCAUUGGAAACUGGGAAACUUGAGUGCAGAAGAGGAAAGUGGAAUUCCAUGUGUAGCGGUGAAAUGCGCAGAGAUAUGGAGGAACACCAGUGGCGAAGGCGACUUUCUGGUCUGUAACUGACGCUGAUGUGCGAAAGCGUGGGGAUCAAACAGGAUUAGAUACCCCCCAUCA
rnacentral:rRNA from 1 species